rnacentral:rRNA from 1 species
AUGCAAGUCGAGGGGCAUCAGGAAGAAAGCUUGCUUUCUUUGCUGGCGACCGGCGCACGGGUGAGUAACGCGUAUGUAACCUACCUUUAACAGGGGGAUAACACUGAGAAAUUGGUACUAAUACCCGAUAGCAUAAUGAUUCCGCAUGGUUUCAUUAUUAAAGGAUUCCGGUAAAGGAUGGGGAUGCGUUCCAUUAGGUUGUUGGUGAGGUAACGGCCCACCAAGCCUUCGAUGGAUAGGGGUUCUGAGAGGAAGGUCCCCACAUUGGAACUGAGACACGGUCCAAACUCC